AAGACUAUACUUCACAGGAUCAUUUCUGUAGUCAGUCUUCACUUACUUUCACACUAACUGAAAGCCUUUAACACCCGCGUUGAUGAGUUGGAUCGUUUUAUUCGGCAGCGUGAGGUUUUGCGUGAUGCUCUUUUGCGGAGUGACAUUAGUCACAACGUAUUGUGAGUAUUACGCUUCGAUGAUCGCUCGGUAACACGAAUAGAACGAAUUCUGAGUGGU